AGUUCCUUAGCUCAACUGAAUAGAGCAACACACUUCUAAUGUGUAGGUUAUGGGUUUGAAUCCCAUAGGAACUA
rnacentral:tRNA from 2 species